GACGAACGCUGGCGGCGUGCUUAACACAUGCAAGUCGAACGAUGAAGCCGGAGCUUGCUCUGGUGAAUUAGUGGCGAACGGGUGGGUAACACGUGAGUAACCUGACAUUGACUCUGGGAUAACUGCUAGAAAUGGUAGCUAAUACCGGAUCCGACCCUCGCAGGCAUCUUCAGGGGGUGGAAAGAAUUUCGGUCAAGGAUGGACUCGCGGCCUAUCAGCUAGUUGGUGAGGUAAUGGCUCACCAAGGCGACGACGGGGAGCCGGACUGAGAGGGUGACCGGCCACACUGGGACUGAGACACGGCCCAGACUCCUACGGGAGGCAGCAGUGGGGAAUAUUGCACAAUGGGCGCAAGCCUGAUGCAGCAACGCCGCGUGAGGGAUGACGGCCUUCGGGUUGUAAACCUCUUUUAGUAGGGAAGAAGCGAAAGUGACGGUACCUGCAGAAAAAGCACCGGCUAACUACGUGCCAGCCGCCGCCGUAA
rnacentral:rRNA from 1 species